UCUCCGUUGGUGAACCAGCGGAGGGAUCAUUAUCGAGUUUAUAACUCCCAAACCCUAUGUGAACUUACCACUUGUUGCUUCGGCGCGUGCUUCGGCGCCGCCGAGGACACUUAAAAUCUUUGUUUUUAUAAGCAUUUCUGAGUGGCCGAAUGGCAAAAUACAAAUUAAUCAAAACUUUCAGCAACGGAUCUCUUGGUUCUG
rnacentral:misc_RNA from 1 species